CGUAGGGUGCCAGCGUUGUCCGGAAUUAUUGGGCGUAAAGAGCUCGUAGGCGGUUUGUUGCGUCGGCUGUGAAAACCUGAGGCUCAACCUCAGGCCUGCAGUCGAUACGAGCAGACUAGAGUGUUGCAGGGGAGACUGGAAUUCCUGGUGUAGCGGUGAAAUGCGCAGAUAUCGGGAGGAACACCGGUGGCGAAGGCGGGUCUCUGGGCAACAACUGACGCUGAGGAGCGAAAGCGUGGGGAGCGAACAGG
rnacentral:rRNA from 1 species